rnacentral:lncRNA from 1 species
AGGCUCUCAGCCUCAUAGCUACUUAUUUUAUGUCCAUCUAGUCACACCUCGGCUGAGCUCUCCAGUCUGCGUCAGAACCUCUGGGAGCCUGGAAGUAGCUGUGAACAGCAGUGACCUACCAGGAAAGUGGUGUGGAUUACAGUAACAGCUCAGAGAACCUCGCCGGUGAAGUCAGACACUUCAGAGCUGCCUCCUGAACAUUUCCCUCCUUCAGUGCCAGGACAGGCAGCAUCUAAUAGGACAGACAUCCCUUCCACCUCCCGAGCUUCCUUUUAUCACCCUGCAGUGUUUCCAUGGUUGGUGUUUUCCAAGGCAUUCCCGAAUCCAUGUACUUUCUCCCUUUUCAACACGGGUGAUUCAUUAAAUGUCAAACCAAACGUGGC